GAGCUCGCCGUUAAUUCUUUUUUCUGUCCAGCACCGGUCUCCAACAGAGGUAGUCUCCGGCUCUCCGCUCCCAUCUAGUCUAGUGUAGAAAGUCAAAAAGGUUCUCUCCGCUCCCAGGAAUUCACCAAAAUUAGAUCGCGAAUUCUAUCCCUCACGUACAAAUCGAGCUUCAAUUGGAGAAAUAGGCAUUCAAUUUGGAGGAUCAUGACGGACGGCCGGCCGGAAGAGUGUGAGCCAGUGUGGACCUUUCGGUCGGACCAGGAUCUCGAGUUUUGCGGCGAUUAUUGGAGCUAAUGGCCGGCGAUCUGCCGCUCGUGUACCUACAUAAGAUAGAGGGACUGGUGCCUGCUGCCUGGUGUUGUUGUGGAUCAGCGAGGACGCUCCCAAGAAUUGGAAUAUCAUCGCAGAACACAUGGGGCAAGUUCGCUUGGCCGCUGGAAUCAUGGAGAUCGCAGAUGUUGUCGCGGCCGCCAGCUGCCUGCUUAUACCGUGAGGCAGCUCAUGAUCUUCGCCUGCGCUGGCCUGCCACAACCACACUUGCUGCCUAGAAUUUAGGGUCUGCCUCAGCUUCAAGUCCAUACACACUUAUACUUCAUGUCAUCACAGUCGCCGGUGUCUCAGAGAACCAAGGCAAACUCAAGGGUAGCGGCAACCGCGUGCGCGAGGACCUGCACCUGCAAGAAAGAUGGUAUCCUUCUUUUCUUCCCUGAGAACCCAAAGAUCAGGUUCAGAGAUCUUGUCCAGAUCUGUAUGGUGUCGAGGACUGAGACGGGGAAGCAUGCGACAUUGACGAUGUUGAAGCCCGGUUCCUGAGACCAUGGCAUGAAUCUGAGAUGUCUCCACGAAGCAAAUCUUAGAUCGUACCUAGCUCUUGGAGGACUAUAUGUCUAGUAGUGUUCUGUUGACUCUCUUACGUCAACGAGGCAAAUCGAGAUUGAACUAUUAGCCACUCGUGUGGUGCAAUUGGAGGAGGUUGGCCGGCCGGCCGGCCGGUGGAGCGCGCGAAGGCAUAUACGGCGGCGUCGUGAGGACGUGAGGACAUGCGGGGAGUUCAGUUCGUGUCUUUUUUUAGGUUUUGAUUUUGAUCAGUAACUUAUGUUAGCUAGACAUUACAUCGAAGGGGCAUGAUGAAAAUUUAAUGUAGGGCAUUGGUGGGUAAUUUUAUUGAAUUCUGAUCAAACGGUAAUGAUUGCCUGAUUAGCUUAAUUGAUGGUCGGAUGUUUCUGAUUUUUGUG